rnacentral:misc_RNA from 1 species
GCGUGUGAGUGGUGUUUGGAUUGUCUCUGCCGGCUGGCUCCGUGCUCGUCCACCGAACGGUCGGCAGGCAAUCCGUGUCGGUUGCUGUGGGAUGAGAUGGUGCCUCAGAGGCUGGUUCUUGUGCUGCCUAUCCCUUCAGGGCAAGCAGGCCACUUGCAUUUAGCCUCCAUCCGGCGCCUUCUGACUGGCGCGGGAGGACAGCGAAGCACCCGCCGUGUUCCACCGAGCCUUCACCGGUCGCGUGGCCCGCGGGGAAGUGCAACGCUCUUGGACCCAGCGCACGCCGCGGACGGGGACUCGGGCCCCAGUCCUAAGAGGAGCUUCGAUAUAACGUGUGACGGCCGCUCUCGACCCUUGGCCGCCCCGGCGGUGCAAGGGCGACGCGCGACGUCGAGGAGGAUUGCUACCUGGUUGAUCCUGCCAGUAGUCAUAUGCUUGUCU